GAUGAACGCUGGCGGCGUGCCUAAUACAUGCAAGUCGAGCGAACAGAUAAGGAGCUUGCUCCUUUGACGUUAGCGGCGGACGGGUGAGUAACACGUGGGUAACCUAUCUAUAAGACUGGAAUAACUCCGGGAAACCGGGGCUAAUGCCGGAUAACAUGUUGAACCGCAUGGUUCUACAGUGAAAGGCGGCUUUGCUGUCACUUAUAGAUGGACCCGCGCCGUAUUAGCUAGUUGGUGAGGUAACGGCUCACCAAGGUAACGAUACGUAGCCGACCUGAGAGGGUGAUCGGCCACACUGGAACUGAGACACGGUCCAGACUCCUACGGGAGGCAGCAGUAGGGAAUCUUCCGCAAUGGGCGAAAGCCUGACGGAGCAACGCCGCGUGAGUGAUGAAGGUCUUCGGAUCGUAAAACUCUGUUAUUAGGGAAGAACAAAUGCGUAAGUAACUGUGCGCGUCUUGACGGUACCUAAUCAGAAAGCCACGGCUAACUACGUG
rnacentral:rRNA from 1 species